GAGGAAAAGAAACUAACAAGGAUUCCCCUAGUAACGGCGAGUGAAGCGGGAAGAGCUCAAAUUUGAAAUCUGGCAGUCUUCGAUUGUCCGAGUUGUAAUCUAUAGAGGCGUUUUCCGUGCCGGACCGUGUCCAAGUCUCCUGGAAAGGAGUAUCAAAGAGGGUGAUAAUCCCGUACUUAACACGACCACCGGUGCUCUGUGAUACGUCUUCUACGAGUCGAGUUGUUUGGGAAUGCAGCUCAAAAUGGGUGGUGAAUUCCAUCUAAAGCUAAAUAUUGGCGAGAGACCGAUAGCGAACAAGUACCGUGAGGGAAAGAUGAAAAGCACUUUGGAAAGAGAGUUAAACAGUACGUGAAAUUGUUGAAAGGGAAACGAUUGAAGUCAGUCGUGUUCUUUGGAUUCAGCCAGUUCUGCUGGUCUACUUCCUUUGAACGGGUCAACAUCAGUUUUGUCCGGUGGAUAAAGGCAGUAGGAAUGUAGCUUCUCCGGAAGUGUUAUAGCCUAUUGUCACAUACACUGGGUGAGACUGAGGACUGCAGCUCGCCUUUAUGGCCGACCUUCGGGUACGUUCGAGCUUAGGAUGUUGACAUAAUGGCUUUAAACGACCCGUCUU
rnacentral:rRNA from 1 species